rnacentral:rRNA from 1 species
UGUAAAGUUCAAGCUCCGAUUAUGAGGGCGAAACCGCGAAUGGCUCAUUAAAUCAGUCAUAAUCUACUUGAUUGUUUAAAGGUUAUAUGGAUAACUGUGGUAAUUCUAGAGCUAAUACAUGCACAAAGGGGGCGACUCUAGCGAUAGAGAAGCUCUGCGUUUAUUAGACUAAGACCAAUGAUUGGAGCAAUCCAAUCUUAGUUAAGGUGACUCUGAGUAAAUAAUGGGUGAAAGCCCAUGUUGCUGACCUGACAUACCAAAAAGCUUUCACGAGCUUGUCAGGCAAAUCAAUCGAGUGUCUGCUCUAUCAACUGUGGAUGGUAGGGUAAUUGCCUACCAUGGUGAUGACGGGUAACGGGGAGUUAGGGCUCGACUCCGGAGAACAAGCCUGAGAAACGGCUAGUAGGACUAAGGUCUGCAGCAGGCGCGAAACUUACACAAUGCUAGAUUACAAUUAGCGAUGUAGUGAAGAAAAAUAACGAUGUACUUACAUUUAUACAUGUUAGUACAAUUGGAAUGAGACGACUAUAAACCAGUCAGUCGAGUAACAAAUGGAGGGCAAGUCUGGUGCCAGCAGCCGCGGUAAUUCCAGCUCCAUUAGCAUACAUUAAAGUUGUUGCGGUUAAAAAGCUCGUAGUUGAAUUUUAGGCGGGCUCUAUUGGGAUGCAAUCGUUAAGACCUAUGUACGUCUCCGGAUUACAUUUGGUUGGUUGUAUUUCCCUAUAGGAACCCGCUGUUUCGUCACUUAAUCGAGUGCGAAGCGGGCUGGUACAAGGAUCUAUCCUCCGGGAUGAUCUUGUUUCAGCAUGUUUACCUUGAGAAAAUUAGAGUGCUCACAGCAGGCAGUUGGGGCCUUAAAACCCCUUUAUGCUUGAAUAAUGUUGCAUGGAAUAAUAGAAUACGGCCUCGGUUCUAUUCUGUUGGUCUUAUAGAACAACAAACAAGUUGAUUAAAGCGACAAAAAGUUUGCUUGCGAGCGUGGUUCAAAAUGUCCAAUUUGCCGGUAUCUUGGUGAAUAAUAUAAUUCUAUUGCCUUUGGGUCAAACCUUUGAGCUAGGUUUAUUAUUUCUACCAAAUAUCUGGUAAUUGGCUCCAUCUUGUUCCAUCCAAAGCGCUCCUAGUUAAACUAGCUUUCUAAUCAACUGAGGCAAUGGUUAAAAGAAAUAGUCGCGGCGGCAUCAGUACUGCAUCGUGAGAGGUGAAAUUCUUAGACCGAUGCAAGACUAACUGAAGCGAAAGCGUUUGCCGAGGAUAUUUUCAUUAAUCAAGAACGAAAGUUAGAGGUUCGAAGGCGAUCAGAUACCGCCCUAGUUCUAACCAUAAACGUUGCCAACUAGCAAUUGGGUUGCGAUUCCUUUAAUCGAAGCUUAAAAAACUUCGAUCAUUAUGAUCCACCCAGCGGCUCUCGUAGGGAAACCAAAGUGUUUGGGUUCCGGGGGAAGUAUGAUUGCAAAGUUGAAACUUAAAGGAAUUGACGGAAGGGCACCACCAGGAGUGGAGCCUGCGGCUUAAUUUGACUCAACACGGGGAAACUUACUAGAUUAGAACUCUGGAAUGAUUGACAGAUUGAUAGCUCUUUCUUGAUUCAGAGGAUGGUGGUGCAUGGCCGUUCUUGAUUCGUAUUCCGAAACGUCUGCUUAAUUGCGAUAACGAGUGAGACCUCACCCAACUAACUAGUCGCUCGGUGCGCUGUGGGACACAAAAGUCUCCAUAGGAUUGUUAGGUAGUCGCGGGCAACCGUUGGUUAUCUAGCGCCUGUGUGAGAUGUCCUCUGCUCGCCAGCGGACUUCUUAGAGGGAUAAACGGUGUUUUAGCCGUAAGAAACGAGGCAAUAACAGGUCUGUGAUGCCCUUAGAUAUUCUAGGCCGCACGCGUGCUACAAUGGCGUGUGCAAAAAGCUUGUUCGAGGUUUGUCUAGAGAGAACUGGCCAUUUGGUGGAUGUGUUGGGGCAACCUAGCGCGUUUAUCGGUGGAGAAGUGACUUUAGUUAGCAGGCCGAGAGAAACCGUAGUCGAAAGAUUACGGCAAUCAUAAAUACACGCCGUGAUUUGGGAUUGGGGAUUGCAAUUGUUGCCCAUGAACGAGGAAUUCCCAGUAAGCGCAAUUCAUCAUAUUGCGUUGAUUACGUCCCUGCCCUUUGUACACACCGCCCGUCGCUACUACCGAUUGGAAGUUUUAGUGAGGCAUUUGGACCUGCUAUCCAAAGGGAAGGCAACUUCUCUGGGACGGCGGGGAAGUCUGUCGAACUCAAAUUUCUAGAGGAAGUAAAAGUCGUAACAAGGUUUCCGU